GACGAACGCUGGCGGCGUGCCUAACACAUGCAAGUCGAACGGAGUUAAGACUUCGGUUUUAACUUAGUGGCGAACGGGUGAGUAACGCGUGAGAAACCUGCCUUUCAGUGGGGGACAACAGUUGGAAACGACUGCUAAUACCGCAUAAUGUUAUUUGGGGGCAUCCUUGAAUAACCAAAGCUUUAUGUGCUGAAAGAUGGUCUCGCGUCUGAUUAGCUAGUUGGUGAGGUAACGGCUCACCAAGGCGACGAUCAGUAGCCGGUCUGAGAGGAUGAACGGCCACAUUGGGGACUGAGAUACGGCCCAG
rnacentral:rRNA from 1 species